GGCCUGUUAGCUCAGUUGGUUAGAGCGCCGUGCUGAUAACGCGGAGAUCAUGAGUUCGAUCCUCUUACGGGCCA
rnacentral:tRNA from 1 species